GGAAGGUGGGGAUGACGUCAAGUCAUCAUGGCCCUUAUGAGUAGGGCUACACACGUGCUACAAUGGCGCAUACAAGGAGAAGCGACCUCGCGAGAGCAAGCGGACCUCAUAAAGUGCGUCGUAGUCCGGAUCGGAGUCUGCAACUCGACUCCGUGAAGUCGGAAUCGCUAGUAAUCGUGGAUCAGAAUGCCACGGUGAAUACGUUCCCGGGCCUUGUACACACCGCCCGUCACACCAUGGGAGUGGGUUGCAAAAGAAGUAGGUAGCUUAACCUUCGGGAGGGCGCUUACCACUUUGUGAUUCAUGACUGGGGUGAAGUCGUAACAAGGUAACCGUA
rnacentral:rRNA from 1 species